rnacentral:rRNA from 1 species
GUGAGGAAUAUUGGUCAAUGGGCGGGAGCCUGAACCAGCCAAGUCGCGUGAAGGAAGAAGGAUCUAUGGUUCGUAAACUUCUUUUGCAGGGGAAUAAAGUGCAAGACGUGUCCUGUUUUGUAUGUACCCUGAGAAUAAGGAUCGGCUAACUCCGUGCCAGCAGCCGCGGUAAUACGGAGGAUCCGAGCGUUAUCCGGAUUUAUUGGGUUUAAAGGGUGCGUAGGUGGUUUGAUAAGUCAGCGGUGAAAGUUUGCAGCUUAACUGUAAAAAUGCCGUUGAAACUGUCGGACUUGAGUGUAAAUGAGGUAGGCGGAAUGCGUGGUGUAGCGGUGAAAUGCAUAGAUAUCACGCAGAACUCCGAUUGCGAAGGCAGCUUACUAAGCUACAACUGACACUGAAGCACGAAAGCGUGGGGAUCAAACAGGAUUAGAAACCCUUGUAGUCC